CCGAGCAUCGAUUGGGUCGCGUCGUUUCAGUUGGUCCACCAGAUACGCCCUCGUCCAGAUACGCCCGCGUGUGAUGGUGAUGCAGAGGAAAUAUCGCGGUAGCUUCUCUCUUCCUCACGCUCACGCAACCUCCCCCUUCUCCUCGACCCUCCACCUCCUCCGCACGGCUUUCACCUCUCCAUCCGCCAUCAAGCAGACCUCCCCCGGCUCACCGCCACCCCCCGUGCCGAUGUGCUAAUGGUUGCGCUGCCUCUGCCCGAUGACGCCGUCUACGUCGAUCUGAAGCCCACGGAGGACGGGGACGAGGUGGGGGAGGAGAUGCAGGUCGUAAGGAGAUGGGAGGCGCUGCAGUCGGUCCGGGUCGCGCGGACGUCGGGGUGGAUGCAGUGCGCCGGCGACGGCCCCGUUGUCCUCGACUCAUCAGAUCCAACCUCUUGCCCGCGCCAGCUGCUGACGGAGUAGUCGGUGAAGGGAGGCCCGUUCUUGCCGACCACUGGCGUUGCGUCGUGCUACCGAGCCUCUGCAACUGUGUCGUGAUGGGUACUUGAGAAGGUUGUCCUUCCACUCGAUGUUGCACCUCCAGCAAAGAGGGGAAUAUGCACUGUGUUGCCAUCUCCUAAUGUUUGGUUCUCCUUGAAUUUCUGCAUCAUAAUACAUCACCGCUGCAACCAAUUAAUUAAGCUUCUCGGAUGAGUGUGCUUCGUAAUCCAGACAUGGAGAAGCUUUAGAAUGGUUACUUAUUCCCAGAGGAUUAGCAUGAGAUGUGAAGCACACCAGAAGAAGUACCCAGACGCCAAGGUCAUCAGUUUGGGCAUCGGUGACACGACCCAACACAUACCAAGCAUCUUCACAUCUAUCAUGACCAAGGUAAUGUCUUCCUUCUUCGGACACAGCAGAAUCUUGGAAAGUUAGCACUGAAUUUGUUUGUGUUAAGACAUGAUUUUUUUUCCUCUACAAAUUCAGUGUUUCAACACGAUUGUCUCAUGUCUUUGUCCGUGGUUACUGAGGAAACUAGUAUGUUUCGUGUUUGAUCUUCAGGUAUCUAGGAUUAUUGAUGGUGACAUGGAUGAUUCCUGUGGUCUGGACAAGGUUGCUUCCAGUCACUUGCCUAGCUAAAUGCCAAUGCAUGAGAUAGCAUUUGCGUCAAACUGAUUAAGUCAGAGCUACUCAGUCAUGUAAACAAACUUAUAGGACAUGGUGAGCCAAGGUGAGCUGCCGCCGAUUCUCCCCAUUGCUAGCCCCCACUCUUCCUCUCUUCUUAUUGCUCCCUUAUUUUCUUCCACUCUGGCUACCCAUCCAUCUACUUGUAAUCCUUUUUCCUGAAACUAUAAGACAAUGGCUUACCCUGACAUUUUGGUAGUUGUGUGAGAUGAAACAUGAUGCUAAGCCGAACAAUUUAUUGUUCUUUUUACGCAUGAGAUCAUAUUUUGGUAGUAGCGAAGCCUAAACCAUGAUGCUUUCUUGCUGCUGCUGUAGUCUCUAAUGAAAUUAUGAGAUAAUGUAGUUAAGCUAAGUUUAGAGAUGCUGUGUGAGAUGACCUCACCUACAUAAAUGUUUUUUCGUUAUUUUUCUUAAUGUAUGGAUGCCUACUGACCCUAAGUAUAUUUGUUUAAAAUGUUUACGUAUGAAGUUUCUAUGCUAUAUAAGAAAGUAGGUCUGAACUAUUUGAGGUCAUGUUCUAUUUUACAGGUUACUCGUAUAGUUGCAUAGCUGAUUCAGUUACAUUAGUUCAAAACAAGUGUUUGUAUCUAUCUUAACUUUCAGGUUACUUGUAUUGCAUAUUGAUUGAUUUCGUGCAGGCUCCUCCGCUAGAUUUUUUUUGAAGUGUAUGUGUUUUUUUUUUGAACAAGGGGGUUCAUAUUCUGGACAUAUCCUCGUGACAGCAAGUUUAUAAUAAAUUCCGAAACUCCUAGGUUGAAGUCAGCAAAGAUAGCAUAUUCAACUAUAUUCAAAUAAUUGUACAUAACUGCCCUUAAGAAUUAUAAGCAAGAUAAAUGCUCACCGGACCGCCUCAAGAGACGCGCCCAGGGCGCGUCCCAGCCACUAGUUUGAGAUGUAAACUGCGAUGAGGGUGAAUUUGCAUGCCAGUGGGGCGGGAGAGUUGCCAAGUUGGCUACGUAAGCCGUGUUGUUUCUCGUCAUGUUUAGCAUAGUGAGGUUAGCAGAUAGAACUUGCAUCAUUUUGAUUUACUUUGCUUUAUAAUUAUUUUACUUUUAUUUUUGUGUGUUUUGUCACAGUUAUUUCUUCUGCAAGUUGUUGUUUCCUGGUCCGUGAAGUGUGUGAUGCACUGUUAAAUGUUAGACGAUAUGUAUUUCCUCCGAUAUAUUUAUUAUAAUUUUUUCUAUGCACAAAUGAUAGUUGUAAAAAUAAUUUUGUUAAAAAGCUGUGUGAAAAUUAAUAUUCAUGUUGGCGACCAGACUUGAUUGAUUUAUAUAAUAUAUGGAAGUUCACGUAAUUUUGUUUACUAAAACUUUUGUAGGCAUAUUUAAUAUUUACUAAACAAAAGUAUUCCUAUUUUAGUAAUCUCUUUACCCCACUCCUUUUGUUAUGUGCGUACACAUCACUUCUUUUUUUACUCCAGGUAGAGAAACAUUAUCGCCAACAUGAAGUGUGUAUUUUGAAUAUCCCGCAAAAAAUAUAUUUAUUUUUAACAGCUCUCUUUACCCCACUCCUUUUGUUAUGUGCGUACACAUCGCUUUUUUUUACUCUAGUUAGAGAAACUUUGUUGCCCAACGUGAAGUGUGUAUUUUGAUUAUCACACAAAAAAACAGUAUAUAUUUUUAACAGCUCUCAACGGCAAACACUAAAGUACCUCAGGAUUGAUUUUUUAAUGUGGACCGGAUUGGUUAAUUUGCUGAAACCAUAAACGACCUCAACACAUGUAUUACGCUCGGAAUCUUUUUUGUGGUGUUUAGAUUUUGCAUAGUUGCAUGCCGUCAAAGUUUAUGGAUGAAGGGCGCGUAACACAAUUUGUAUGUAUGAAGUGACCUGAUUCUGUUGUUUGUGUUAGGAUUUAAUUAAUCAUAUUAAUCCCUGCUUUUUCUAACCGAGGCGGUUGCCUCACAUCCCUUCAGUUGCAGUCCUUCAAGGGUUAUAUAUAUUUGUAAUCCCAUCAUCAAUGAGAACAAGAGUUCACUUUUACAUCUCUCUGUUUGUCUCUAGUUCCUCUCUCGAUCUCAAUUCUAGACACGUUAUCAGCACGCUCUUCCCUGAGCAACUCGGCGAGGAGGAAAGAACUGGAAACCGCACAUCCCUCGACCGGCGAAUCCACAGCCCGGUGCUGCGCCUGGGCGAUCCUCGACGCGAAGUGAACAGGGGCCCGUUCACGCACAGGCCCUUUGCGCCCAGCGGCGGUUACCAAUGGAGAAGAGUAUCCAGCGCAUAAGCGAUGGCGCAUGGAACCGCUUCCGGCGAAACCCCCACUGGUGGGCUUCCUUCCGAAGAUUGCCGAUCAUGGCCAGAUGGUUGGAGAAAUCAGCCGCCCACUGCAGAGACGGCACCGCGGUUAAGAGAUCGAUCAGGAGAAAGCAAUUUUCUUGUCUUUUGUGAUUAACAUCAAUUCUAAACACUCACGUGAUCUAACAAAUGAUUUGAUUGUUUUCU